GGGUGUGUAGCUCAACGGCAGAGCAGCUUCCUCUUAAGAAGUUGGUUGAGCGUUCGAAUCGCUCCACACCCA
rnacentral:tRNA from 1 species